CCUACGGGAGACAGCAGUGAGGAAUAUUGGUCAAUGGGCGAGAGCCUGAACCAGCCAAGUCGCGUGAGGGAGUACUGCCCUAUGGGUUGUAAACCUCUUUUGUCGGGGAGCAAAAGCCGGACGUGUCCGGCUGUGAGAGUACCCGAAGAAAAAGCAUCGGCUAACUCCGUGCCAGCAGCCGCGGUAAUACGGAGGAUGCGAGCGUUAGCCGGAUUUAUGGGGUUAAAGGGGUGCGCAGGCGGAUUUUUAAGUCAGCGCUCAAAUCGUGGGGCUCAACCCCAUCCAGCCGUUGAAACUGGGGAUCUAGAGUGUGCGAGAGGUAUGCGGAAUGCGUGGUGUAGCGGUGAAAUGCAUAGAUAUCACGCAGAACCCCGAUUGCGAAGGCAGCAUACCGGUGCACAACUGACGCUCAGGCACGAAAGCGUGGGUAUCGAACAGGAUUAGAUACCCGGGUAGUC
rnacentral:rRNA from 1 species